rnacentral:rRNA from 1 species
CGAAGGGGGCUAGCGUUGUUCGGAAUUACUGGGCGUAAAGCGCGCGCAGGCGGUUUUUCAAGUCAGUGGUGAAAGCCCGGAGCUCAACUCCGGAACUGCCAUUGAAACUGUAAAACUUGAGGAUGAGAGAGGUGAGUGGAAUUCCCAGUGUAGAGGUGAAAUUCGUAGAUAUUGGGAAGAACACCGGUGGCGAAGGCGGCUCACUGGCUCAUAUCUGACGCUCAGGCGCGACAGCGUGGGGAUCAAACAGGAUUAGAUACCCUGGUAGUCCACGCCGUAAACGAUGAAUGCUAGCCGUUGGGCAGUUUGCUGUUCAGUGGCGCAGCUAACGCAUUAAGCAUUCCGCCUGGGGAGUACGGCCGCAAGGUUG